rnacentral:rRNA from 1 species
AGUGAACGCUGGCGGUAGGCCUAACACAUGCAAAUCGAACGGCAGCACAGUAAGAGCUUGCUCUUACGGGUGGCGAGUGGCGGACGGGUGAGGAAUACAUCGGAAUCUACUUUUUCGUGGGGGAUAACGUAGGGAAACUUACGCUAAUACCGCAUACGACCUACGGGUGAAAGCAGGGGAUCUUCGGACCUUGCGCGAUUGAAUGAGCCGAUGUCGGAUUAGCUAGUUGGCGGGGUAAAGGCCCACCAAGGCGACGAUCCGUAGCUGGUCUGAGAGGAUGAUCAGCCACACUGGAACUGAGACACGGUCCAGACUCCUACGGGAGGCAGCAGUGGGGAAUAUUGGACAAUGGGCGCAAGCCUGAUCCAGCCAUACCGCGUGGGUGAAGAAGGCCUUCGGGUUGUAAAGCCCUUUUGUUGGGAAAGAAAAGCAGCAGGUUAAUACCCCGCUGUUCUGACGGUACCCAAAGAAUAAGCACCGGCUAACUUCGUG